AGCGAACGUUAGCGGCGGGCCUAACACAUGCAAGUCGAGCGAGAAAGUGGCUUCGGCCAUCAGUAAAGCGGCGGACGGGUGAGUAACACGUAGGUAAUCUUCCUUCGAGCGGGGGACGAACGUUCCGAAAGGGACGCUAAUACCGCAUACGUUCCCAGAGACUUUGGUCUUUGGGAGGAAAGCUAGGUCGCAAGAUCCGGCACUCGAUGAGGAGCCUGCGUCGCAUCAGCUAGUUGGUGGGGAAUGGCCUACCAAGGCGAAGACGCGUAGCUGGUCUGAGAGGAUGAUCAGCCACACUGGGACUGAGACACGGCCCAGACUCCUACGGGAGGCAGCAGUGGGGAAUAUUGGACAAUGGCGCAAGCCUGAUCCAGCCACGCCGCGUGA
rnacentral:rRNA from 1 species